AGAAGUGAAACACAAUAGCGCCGAUGGUAGUGUGGGGCUUCCCCAUGUGAGAGUAGGACAUCGCCAGGC
rnacentral:rRNA from 1 species